rnacentral:rRNA from 1 species
AGAGUUUGAUUAUGGCUCAGAACGAACGCUGGCGGCAGGCCUAAGUCAUGCAAGUUGAACGGCUGUAGCAAUACAGCAGUAGCGGACGGGUGAGUAAUGUAUGGGAACGUAUCUUCUAGUGGGGAAUAUUCUUUGGAAACGAAGAGCAAUACCGCAUGAGUCCUACGGGAGAAAGUCGCAAGACGCUAGAUGAGCGGCCCAUAUUGGAUUAGCUAGUUGGUUAGGUAAUGGCUGACCAAGGCAACGAUCCAUAGCUGGUCUAAGAGGACGAUCAGCCACAUUGGGACUGAGACACGGCCCAGACUCCUACGGGAGGCAGCAGUCAGGAAUAUUGGACAAUGGGGCAACCCUGAUCCAGCCCAUGCCGCGUGAGUGUUAAGGUCUUCGGAUUGUAAAGCUCUUUUGUGUGGGAAAAUGAUGAUGGUACCACAAGAAUAAGCACCGGCUAACUUCGUGCCAGCAGCCGC